GCUGGGCAUGGUGGUGCAUGCCUGUAAUCCCAGCUACUUGGGAGGCUGAGGCAGAAGAAUCGCUUGAACCCAGGAGGCAGAUGUUGCAGUGAGCUGAGAUCGCCCAUUGUACUGCAGCCUGGGCAACAAGAGUGAAACUGUCUCAAAAUAAAAUAAAAUAAAAUAAAAUAAAAUAAAAUAGGCCGGGCACAGUGGCUCACGCCUGUAAUCCCAGCAUUUUGGGAGGCCAAGGCGGGCGGAUCACAAGGCCAGGAGAUCGAGACCAUCCUAGCUAACACAGUGAAACCCCGUCUGU
rnacentral:sRNA from 1 species